rnacentral:rRNA from 1 species
CCUACGGGAGGCAGCAGUGAGGAAUAUUGGUCAAUGGGCGCGAGCCUGAACCAGCCAAGUCGCGUGAGGGAUGACGGUCCUACGGAUUGUAAACCUCUUUUGCCGGGGAGCAAGCGUGCGUUCGUGAACGCACGUCGAGAGUACCCGGAGAAAAAGCAUCGGCUAACUCCGUGCCAGCAGCCGCGGUAAUACGGAGGAUGCGAGCGUUAUCCGGAUUUAUUGGGUUUAAAGGGUGCGCAGGCGGAAGAUCAAGUCAGCGGUAAAAUUGAGAGGCUCAACCUCUUCGAGCCGUUGAAACUGGUUUU